AGCAUAAUAGAAGUCAAUGACGUGUGUUCGCGUGGUGUCUCGCGAGGUUAUAAUAAUAAUACAUGAUAUUAUAUAUUAGUAGAUCGAGUUACAUCGAGUGAGAGAGAGGGACAGAGAGAGAGAGAGGAGGAGAGAGAGAGAGAGAGAUAGUUUCGUUUGUCCUUUUGAAGAGUAUGUAAAGAGCUUUCAAUGUCGUUUAGAAAACUUUAUUAGGAUUAUACGUAGAGAUACUUUGGACGGCAGUGAAGAUCGUGUUCGGGAUUUAUCGCCAAGAGGUGGUCAUCAGGGAGGUGCCGGUAAUUCAGGGUAUAUGAGUGGCAGACAAGGUCGUUUUCCAACCUUACGUAGAGAUCGUAGAUACGAAUGUCGUCUUACUAAUGAUGACGAAGACACUGUUUACAGCUAGCUCUUAAUGGGAAAAAUAAUCUUUAAUCAAAGAUUUGUUGGUCGUCCAAUUUGUGAUAUAUAAGUUUCGGUGAAGGAAUUGAACUUAAAAGUCAGAAGUUAUGAUCUGCAAUCACUCUGCAGUGCAGUAUUAAAGAUGAAGGAACACGAAUGUAAAGAGAUCACGUCAGCG